rnacentral:rRNA from 1 species
ACUCCUACGGGAGGCAGCAGUGAGGAAUAUUGGUCAAUGGACGCAAGUCUGAACCAGCCAUGCCGCGUGCAGGAUGACGGCUCUAUGAGUUGUAAACUGCUUUUGUACGAGGGUAAACGCAGAUACGUGUAUCUGUCUGAAAGUAUCGUACGAAUAAGGAUCGGCUAACUCCGUGCCAGCAGCCGCGGUAAUACGGAGGAUUCAAGCGUUAUCCGGAUUUAUUGGGUUUAAAGGGUGCGUAGGCGGUUUGAUAAGUUAGAGGUGAAAUUUCGGGGCUCAACCCUGAACGUGCCUCUAAUACUGUUGAGCUAGAGAGUAGUUGCGGUAGGCGGAAUGUAUGGUGUAGCGGUGAAAUGCUUAGAGAUCAUACAGAACACCGAUUGCGAAGGCAGCUUACCAAACUAUAUCUGACGUUGAGGCACGAAAGCGUGGGGAGCAAACAGGAUUAGAUACCCUGGUAGUCCACGCAGUAAACGAUGAUAACUCGUUGUCGGCGAUACACAGUCGGUGACUAAGCGAAAGCGAUAAGUUAUCCACCUGGGGAGUACGUUCGCAAGAAUGAAACUCAAAGGAAUUGACGGGGGCCCGCACAAGCGGAGGAACAUGUGGUUUAAUUCGAUGAUACGCGAGGAACCUUACCCGGGCUUGAAAGUUAGCGACGAUUCUUGAAAGAGGAUUUCCCUUCGGGGCGCGAAACUAGGUGCUGCAUGGUUGUCGUCAGCUCGUGCCGUGAGGUGUCGGGUUAAGUCCCAUAACGAGCGCAACCCCUACCGUUAGUUGCCAUCAGGUGAAGCUGGGCACUCUGGCGGGACUGCCGGUGUAAGCCGAGAGGAAGGUGGGGAUGACGUCAAAUCAGCACGGCCCUUACGUCCGGGGCUACACACGUGUUACAAUGGGGGGUACAGAAGGCAGCUACACGGCGACGUGGUGCUAAUCCCGAAAGCCUCUCUCAGUUCGGAUUGGAGUCUGCAACCCGACUCCAUGAAGCUGGAUUCGCUAGUAAUCGCGCAUCAGCCAUGGCGCGGUGAAUACGUUCC